CUUGAACUAAAUAAGAGGUCCAGCCUGCCCAGUGAAAUUAUUCAACGGCCGCGGUAUCCUAACCGUGCGAAGGUAGCGUAAUCACUUGUUCUUUAAAUGAGGACUAGUAUGAAUGGCACCACGAGGGUUCUACUGUCUCCUUUUUUAAAUCAGUGAAACUAAUCUUCCCGUGAAGAAGCGGGAAUUUUUUUAUAAGACGAGAAGACCCUAUGGAGCUUUAAACAAAUGACAUUUGCUUAAUCUAAUACUUUAUUUUCAAGAAAUAUAGCAUUAUGAUCUUUAGUUUUCGAUUGGGGUGAUCACGGAGAAAAAUUUAACCUCCACGCCGAAAGGGUUUAUUCCCUAAGCAAAAAGCUACAGCUUUAAGCACUAAAAAAUUAACGUAGUUUGACCCAAUAUUUUGAUCAACGAAC
rnacentral:rRNA from 1 species